UCGAGCUUCUCACAGCCAGUCAGUGUGACGGUUUUCAUUAGCUCUUAAUUAGGCUCACCUGUGUCACCGUACCCCCUAUAUUAUGGUGCACACAUGGGGCCUGGUUAUAUUUUUCCCUCCGACGGACCAAACCCAAUCAAUGAAAGGACUUGCCGGUGCUUCUUUGGAUUCUUUUUUGGAACCAUCCAGACAAAUGUGACCGACAGCCAGCAGACGGUGCAUUGGCGGAUUAACAGGUCCCUCCAAAGGAGAAUAUGAGGACGAACUAGUGUACUGAACCUACCACCUGUUUCAUAAAUGAAUAUAUUUUGGGUUACCAUGUUGGAUUUCUGCUGGAGCGCCAGGAAAAGGUUUCAUAAUGAGAAAUGGAAAUUCCACAGCAGUGGAAAGUCUUUAUUUCAGUUCACCUGGGGUCAACGCUCUUACCGUCUGAGAAGGCAGCGUCGGUGCCCUCUCCAAAGCCCAUGGAGCCGUCGGAGAGCCAGAUCUCCUUCUUGGACAGCAGGAACAUCUGUGUGUUGAGGCUGAACUCUGCUGCCACGGGGUCACUCACCUGGAGAAAACAAGGAGUUGGCAUAGGAUGCCAUGUUGGAAGUCUGCAGGGCUGCACAUCAUCUACGAUAGUUGGACACUCAGGAAUAAAAUAAUUCAUGCUAAAA